rnacentral:sRNA from 1 species
CCCCGAGUUGAGCGGAAAUCCUUUUUUGCUUAUGCUUAAUCUCUAUUGAUGACCAAGAUUUCUGCAAAAAAGAUUGGGAGCGGAAGGCGGAUUAGGUG